GUUGGGUUUCAUAACAGUAAAUAUUAUGCAUUGCGGAAACAGAAGCGUUUAGUACCGUCAGCUGAUCAACACAGAACAUAAAGAGAGGAAAGCACGAUGGUCUGACUGCUGAUUAAAGCAAGCGUCUACGUGGUGAGGAAGAUCCGGGCCUCCAUUGCCCAGGGAGAGGACCUGGAGAAGCCCAUCAUUACACCAUGUAGUGCUAAUGCUGAAAGGAAAGCUGGGCACCCAUCAAGAGGAAUAUCUGCAGCAGCUGCACUAACAUCAGCGUCUGACGAUGGCCUGGUUGGAGCAGACGGCUCAGGGAUGUCCUCGGACACGGCUGUGGAGAAGUGUGGAUCCUGACGUUAGGGCUGGACAUUGGUUCAGGGGUAUAAACUAAUGUCCAGCUCAGGGUGACACACAAAUGGACACUCUAUCAUUAAAACUAAAAACAUGACCUCAAAUUAAAUGGAUUUGGACUGAAUAAAGAAUAAAAAAAAGCCUCA
rnacentral:lncRNA from 1 species